UCCAGUCAAGGUAAUUUCCUUUCAUUUGCUUCAUUCAUGACUAUACAAUGAUUGUUUUUUAUAUCAGCUACUGUUAUAGCAGCUUGCUUUGUAAGAUGGUCAAGAUAAUAAGAUCUGCAGCAAUGGUUUCCUCUAGUGAUUAUCAACAGUUUUAGAUUUUAAGACAGGAUGAUCAGCAGACAUAAUCUACUAUAGAUACAGAUUAAUACGAAAAGAGCUAUGCUUUGUAAGAUAGUCAAGGUAAUAAGAUCUGAAGCAAUGAUUUCCUCUACUGAUUUUCAAUUUUAAGACAGGAUGAUCAGCAGAUAUAGUCUACUAUAGAUACAAUUUAAUACGAAAAGAGCUACCCAGAAGCAAUAUAAUGUUGAAAUCUCAUGCUGUUGAACAUUUUACCUCUUCAUAUUCUGUAAUGAACUCUUGCACACUUGAAUCUAGCAUGUUGUAUAGUUUGAGGGAUUGAUUCUGGAUAUACAAUGGUGACCAGAAUUUCAUCAUGUUUCUGUCUGCCACCCAUCCAUAGCUCCAUCUAAUAGACGCCAUUGCUUGAAACUUGCAUUCAUGAUUUCCUUUUCAUGCUUACACCGACAUAUCAAUACUUCAUAAAAUAUCCAAUUCAUUCACAGAUUUUCAUUCUCUGCUACUGUUAUAUAUGAUUGCAUUACAGGGACAAAGCAAUGGAGUACGUAGAGCCUGUUGUCGGCAUUGCAAAUUGUCUCGGAACUCCUGCUUGUAAGUAUUUUAAAAAAAUACUUAUUGCAUUGAUUGUUGAUUGCAAAUUGUCUCGGAACUCCUGUUUGUUAUAUAUGUUUAAUUCAUAGAUGAUAUGGGUACAAGACAUUAUAAUGAUGCAAUAGUUUAAAAGAAAGUAAAUAGGAGGAGUAAAAUUGUGGAGGGAAAAUAUUUAAAAAAAAAUUGAAGGGGGGAGGGUUUGGGGUAGAUGAGAGGUGGGAUGGGAAGGGAAUAAAAGUUUUAGGGGAAAAGUGGGAGGGAGUAAAAAUUUUGGGAGAAAAUAAAAGGUUUUGAGGGUUUUGGGGAGUAAAAUUUUGAGAAAAAGUAAAUGGGAGAGUAAAAUUUUGGUGGGAAAUGGAUUUUGGGUAGAUUGGGGGGUUGGGAGGGGAGUAAAAGUUUUGGGGGGAAAGUAGGAAGGAGUAAAAGUUUUGAGGGAAAAGUAAAAAGGUUUGGGAGUUGGGGUGAAAAUGUAAAAUAUUAUAGUUUGAUAUUCGAAUUAUUCGAAUUAUUAGAGUUAUUCGAAUUCGAAAACUCAACUCGAUUCGAACUCGAAAUUUGAAAAAAAAAUCGAGUUGAUUCGAAUAACUCGAUUAACUAGAAUAACUCGAUUCGUUUAACUCGAAAUCCGAAUUUUUUUUAAAUUUUUUCGAGUAGAAUCGAGUUUUGCUCACCCCUAAUAUAUAUCCUGAACUUGAGUUGUCAUAUUCUAAUAUUUCUUUGCUCAGUAUUUACUUGAUUGUAUACAUUAGAUUUGCACCCGAAGUAAUAGUUUUAGAAUACUUGCAGUAAUAGUUUGUCUUUCAACUUCAUCAACUAAUCUUUUAAAGUUAUGUGUAUCGAUUGCGGUCGUAAAUCAACUAAAAAUCUAAUUAAGGUAAAUGUACUUAUCAAUUAAUAUUAUAGUUACGAUGAGCAAAGAUAUCGUUCCCACGAGGGCUAAAAGUGCUAGUUAUUAUUGUCUUUCUUUUAUUUAACCGACAAAUUGGAGUGAUUGAUUAAAACUAAAAUUAACUAAAUUAAUUAACUAAAGAACAUGACAAAGAACAAAUUAGAAAAAUAAACGAUUAACAACCAAAAAAAGUGAGACAAUACCUAGGAAAGAACCCACCUAGACUUCAUCUGUCAUUAUCAAUCUAAAUCACGCAAUUUCUUCACUUACUAUCUUGAUCCGUAGAAAUCCCUAAAUUAUGCUAACAUCUCUCUUCAAGACUAACAACAACUAACUCUAGAUUGAUUAAUUGAAUUUUCUUUCUAAUUAAAACCCCUAUUAUCGUAUUAACUUGAUUUAUGGAUCAUUCUAUUAGAUUUGACUCUAAUCCAGUAGAUUUAUGUUGUCCUAUUUUUAGGAUUGCAUGCAACUCCACUCAAUUACGCUAAAUCUACUCUUAAACAGGGUCUAUUCCUCCUCUGAUUUAAGCACAUAAUACAUGAAUCAAUAGUCUAAAAACAUUAUGAAUUAAGCACACAUAAUUGAGAACAAAAUCUAAGUAUUUAUUGCAUAAAAAUUGAAAUCAAAUAAUAUAAUCCAUCCUAAGGUUUAUCUCCCUAGGUAUUUGGAAAAUUAGUACAUAUAGUAAAUAAAAACAUCCCAUAAAUAGCAUAAUUACAAGAUAUAAAGAAACUCAUAAUAAACUUCAAAAAAAUCAAAAGGACAACUUCAAUCUUGAUGGAAAUAUACUUCAAAGUCGGCUUUAAUAGUAUUUUUCGAGUUAUUUUCUUCAAUAUUAUAUGACAACUCACUCUGCUCCUCUUAUCUUUGUCAUAUAUAUAUUAGAAUGCUCGAAAAAUCUAAAAAUUACAAUUUUCUGCAUGUUUAGAGUGCAAUUUGCGAUUUCCACACGAUUUGGCACAUGAUCGUGUGACAGCCUGUGUGGCUCACUCAACUGUGUGUCCAGACCGUGUGCAAUGGCCCAACCCUUGUGGCUCCUGAAACUUGCUCCAGUUUUUCGAUUUUCGCUCCUUUUUGCUUCUAAAUUCUCUCUUAAGUAUAGAAACAUGAAUUCAAAGUAUUAGAAGCAUAAAAUUUACCAUUAACACAUUUUCUCUGUAUAUUUAGCAUAUAUUCAAACUUCGAGGCUCUACUUUGGAGUUUAGGUUCAAAAAUAUGAACCCAUGUUUUCAAAGGUCUAAUUUUUCCAUGAACUGCUGGAAAUGAAAAGAAAAAACAAAUAUUUAAAAAAAUGAAAAAGAAAAAUGAAAAUAUAGUUUAAUGAGACUUACAUAAAUCCCGAGAUUGAGAAAAUGAUUGUCUAAAGAGAAGCAGAAAUUUGGCCGUCCAAGCCAUCUUAUUCAGUUCACCGAUGCAAGUUUCUCCGCUUAGCCGCCGCUGCUCUGAAAAUGAUGAAGGACUAAUUAGUUUAACAACAGUACCAGUACGAUGUCGUAAGGACGUAUCCUACGUGGCAGUCGUGUCAUCUAGCUAAGUCAAACUACGACGCUACAGUUGGACUUCGAUUUCAGUUGGGUUUGGUUUCUUAGCUGGAGUUCUAUUUAAACUUGGGUUUUGUUUUUGGUUAAAUUACCUUAUUAGUUACUAAAUUAUAGGUUGCUUUUGUUUUGUUCACUUAACUAAAAAAAAUUACAAUUUGGUUACUGAAGUAUUCGAAUAUUUUCAUUUAAGUCACUAAAACAAGAUCUUUUUAAAUAAGAAAUAAAUAUUUUUUAUAGAGAAAUUUUAUAUAUAUAAAAAAUGAAAUACUUUAAUUUAAAAGGACAUUUUGUUUAAUCACUUUAAUAGCUUUUGGAGUGAUGAAAAGUCUAAUUUCACUUUGCACCUAAAAUGAUUUUUUUGGUAAUUUUCUUACAGAGCUGGGACUCAAUUGAUGGUUUACGCCAACUCAGUAAAAGGCUUUAACACAGUAUAGAAAAAAAAAGUUUUUAACUAAAAUUUUUAAAAGAAUUUAGGGUAAACUACACCAAUCAUCCAACUAUAAUAUAGAGAAAUUUUGUAGGGUUUAAAAAUAAUUAUCCCUAAUUUUCUCACUUUAUUUAUUUUUAAAAUUUUUAUUUUACUUUUAUUUAUUUUUUAAUUUUAUAAUGUUCUAAAAUUUUAAAAAUAAUUUCAACUUUUUAUCAUUUUAUAUAUUAUCAAAAUGAAAUUCACCGAAAGUAUACAAAUUUAGGACUAAAAUUUUUAUUAAAUCAUUUAAAAAGUUCCACUUAACAGUUGAGUGACAAAAAAAUAAUAAUUUCAAAAAAAAUUAGUGGUGAAAUUGUAACUUUUUUUAAUUGAGUGAUUAAAACAAAAAAUAGCAAUAGUUUAGUGACUAAUAAUGUAACUUUUUUUGGUACAAUGAUAAUUCGAAAUUUGGCUAUUCUUAAAAAGGGUGAACAUCGGAUCAUAUUUAUUCACAUAUUACAAACAUCCAUAAGUAAGCAAUUCUCCCGAAUUAAAAUCAAAUUUUAAUAUUAACAACUUCAACAACUCAUAAAUAGGAAGAUAAUAUGUUUCGGUACACUUGAAACCACAUCCUUCUACAUUAACAACAAUUACUAUGACAAUGAAACUAAGACUCAAUUCACAAUGAAUAUAUAUUUUUGUUAUACCUAAUUAAAGUCAUUUACCAGUAUAUUAAACAUUCUUAUACCCUAGUUUCCCAUACUUUCCCAUUAUUGUCGUGAUGAUGAUGAUGAUGUUACAAUUGAGCACCAAGAUCACUGUAAUACUUGUUUUAAUUGGUAUAAUAAUAAUUUUAAUCUUUUUUUUUAUAUUUUAUAAUUAUAAUUUUAUACGAUACCGUAAAUUAAAUUGAUAAUAAAAAUAAUUAUAAUGCUAUCUGUAAUGGAAGACAGCAAAGAAAAAGGCUAAAAGAAAACGUAAUAAAAAUAGGAUUCCUUGCUAAUAAUUCUGCCUCUGUGGAUCCUACCAGAGACUUCAUAAAUUCCCUGUUUUUAUCUUCACUUUCUUCUUACUUCUUCUUCACUGCUUUUAAUUUGUUUCGAUGUCCAAGGUCUAUCACAAAUUUUCAAGCAUCCAGUCAACGUAAUUUUCUUUCAUUUGCUUAAUUCAUCACUUGCUUUUCUUUGCUUUUGAUUAUCUGCUACUGUUAUAGCAGCUAGCUUUGUAAGAUUGUCAAGGAACUCAACUUCACUGCUUCCUUUUCAGUUCUAAUCUCUCUACACUUUUCAGCCACUAAGUCAGGUAAUAAGAUCUGAAGCAAUGAUUUCCUCUACUAAUUAUCAACAAUUUUAGAUUUUAACAGUGGAUGACCAGCAGACAUAAUCUACUAUAGAUAGAAAUUAAUACAAAACAGCUACCCAGAAGCAAUAUAAUGUUGAAAUCUCAAACUGUCAACAUUUUAACUCUUAAUAUUCUGUAAUGAACUCUUGCACACUUGAAUCUAGCAUUUUAUAUACAUCGAGAGCUUGAUUCUGGUGAUCAGAAUUUCAUCAUGUUUUUGUCUGCCACCCAUCCAUAGCUCCAUCUAAUGGACGCCAUUGCUUGAAACUUGCAUUCAUGUUUUCCUUUUCAUGCUUACACUGACAUAUCAAUACUUCAUACAAUAUCCAAUUCAUUCACAGAUUUUCAUUCUCUGCUACUGUUUUAUGAAGAGAAAGAUAAAAGUGGGGGUGGGAAAGAAGGAGGGGGGAGGAUAGUGCAAAAGAGAGGAGAAAAGGAAUGAUGGAAGGAAGAGGUUAAGAGCAUAAACUGCCCCCAGUUUUUAAACCCCUUUGGAAGGAUGAAAGGUAUGAACCAUUAUAGUUUAGAGAAAGAUGAAAGGGUUGGUGGGAAAGGAGGAGGGGGGAGGAUAGUGCAAAAGAGAGGAGAAAAGGAAUGAUGGAAGGAAGAGGUUAAGAGGCUCCACGUUGUAAACAUUAACCCUCUCUUACAAUUCCUUCUAUUCUCUUUUUAUAAUGUAAAAGCUGAAGAGGUAAAAAAAUAAAUAAAUUUGCUUCAUAUUUUUUCUAUGUUUGUUUUGAAAGAAUGAGUGUUGAAUAUAGAUAAUAUAGAGAAAUUUUGUAGGGUUUAAAAAUAAUUAUCCCUAAUUUUCUCACUUCUUUUUAUUUUUUUAAUUUUAUAAUGUUUUAAAAUUUUAAAAAUUUUCGACGGUGGCCA
rnacentral:lncRNA from 1 species